AUUGAACGCUGGCGGCAGGCCUAACACAUGCGAGUCGCACGAGUGGCGGACGGGUGAGUACUGCCUGGGAAACUGCCUGAUGGAGGGGGAUAACUACUGGAAACGGUAGCUAAUACCGCCUACCAUCGGAUGUGCCCAGAUGGGAGUAGCUAGUAGGUGGGGAACAGCCGCACCUAGGCGACAAUCCCUAGCUGGUCUGAGAGGAUGACCAGCAGCACUGUAACUGAGACACGGUACAGACUCCUACGGGAGGCAGACGUGGGGAAGAUUGGCCAAUGGGCGCAAGCCUGAUGCAGCCAGGCUGCGUGUAUGAAGAAGGUCUUCGGGUUGUAAAGUUCUUUAAGCGGGGAGGCGUUACCCGCAGAAGAAGCACCGGCUAACUCCGUGCCAGCAGCCGCGGUAAUUC
rnacentral:rRNA from 1 species